rnacentral:tRNA from 2 species
GGGCGUGUAGCUCAGCUGGGAGAGCGCCGGCUUCGCAAGUCGGAGGUCAGGGGUUCGAUCCCCCUCACGUCCA